CGUUUGGUGGAUGGCUUGGCUCGGGCGCCGAUGAAGGUCGUACCAAGUUGCGAUAUGCGAGGGGUAAGCACAUGGAGCUUUUAAUCCCUUGAUUGCCGAAUGGGACUUCCUGGCGUAAGCCAACCCCACUAGGGGUAGGGAACCCGGGGAAUUGAAACAUCUUAGUACCCGGAGGAAAAGAAAUCAAUAGAGAUGCCGUAAGUAGAGGCGAUCGAAAACGGCACAGGGCGAACCGAAUCCCUCAUGGAAACAUGGGGGAGAUGUGGAGCGGCCUGGUUACAUCUUCGCUCUCGAACCGGAAAUCGGUUUGGAACUCCGUGCCAUAGAGGGUGAAAGCCCCGUACGGGUAAGAGAGAAAGAUGAUUUCCAGGAUCCAGGAGUACCGUACGUUGGAAUUCGUGCGGGAAGAUGGGUGCCAGAAACAUCCAACCCUAAAUACGUCCCGAGACCGAUAGUGCAUUAGUAGCGUGAGUGAAAGCUGAAAAGUACCCUUGACGGGAGGUGCAAAGACCCUGAAACCAGACGAUUACAGACUGAUAGGGCGGGAAAGGGAAACCGCCGUCCUAUCGUUCGUCUCGAAAAACGAGCCAGGGAGUUCCGUUCAACGGCGAGGUUAAGUGGUUCAUCCACGGAGCCGAAGGGAAACCGACCGCCCGCAGCAUUGCGAGGGGCGGGGUGCGCUCGCCCGGAGUCGUUGGAGGGAUACCCGAAGCCUGUCGAUCUAUACCUGGGCAGGAUGAAGCCUGAGGAAACUCGGGUGGAGGUCCGAACCGUUGCUGAUGUGCAAAUCGCUCGGAUGACCUGGGCAUAGGGGUGAAAGGCCAAUCUAGGCAGGCUAUAGCUGGUUCCUCCCGAAAUAUCUCGCAGGAUAGCCUCAAGGGAGAUGGUCCGUGCUGUAGAGCACCAUAUGGGUGUUUAGGGGAAGAGAUUCCUCGGCAUCCUAAUGAACUCCGAAUGUGCGGACGUUGUAGAUCUUGGGAGUGAGGGCAUCUGGCGUAAGGUUGAUGUCCGAAAGGGGAACAACCCGGCCCGGCGUUAAGGUCCCUAAGUGUCAACUAAGUGUGAAGGUCAAAAAGGGUCCAUGGUCCAAGACAACUGGAAGGUGGGCUUAGAAGCAGCCACCCUUUAAAGAGUUCGUAACAGAUCACUAGUCGAGAUCAUGGGCAUUGAAAAUGGACGGGGCUAAGUUGACCACCGAUACGCUGGAUAUUCGAAAGAAUAUAUGGUAGGGAGGUGUCGUGCGUGGGUAGAAGCAGGGUCGUGAGGUCCUGUGGACCGCGUUCGAAUAAGAAUCCUGGUACAAGUAGUAGCAAAGAACGGUGAGAAUCCGUUCAGCCGGAGGGGCUAGGGUUCCUCGACAAUGUUCUUCAGUCGAGGGUUAGUCGGUCCUAAGGCUUACCUUAAUCGGGAAGGCCGAAAGGGAAACAGGUUAAUAUUCCUGUACCUGGCAGUAUUUUGCCCCUGGGGACGGAUCGGGAUAGGUCUUGCAGGUUCACCAGCCUGUUCAAGCGAAGUAAACCCAUGGAGAGUUGUAAUGACGAGAAGUGGGUCAAGGCGCGAGUAGGAUGGCGUUACGCCGUCUAAGGCCGACUCCUGGUUCCCGUGAAAACCCCAGUGGGGUCGUGCUGUCAGUCCGUACCGAGAUCCGACACAGGUGCCCCUGGGUGAGUAGCCCAAGGCUUGUUGGUCCAACCGACGCGAGGGAACUCGGCAAAUUAGCCCUGUAUCUUCGGUAUGAGGGGUGCCAGCUCCGUGAAGAGCUGGUCGCAGUGACAAGGGGACUCCGACUGUUUAAUAAAAACAUAGGUGGCAGCUAGUCCGAAAGGAUGUGUAUUGCCGCUGAAUCCUGCUCAGUGCCGGUAUCUGAAACCCCGUUCCAACGGGACGAAGGACCGGUAAACAGCGGGGGUAACUAUGACCCUCUUAAGGUAGCGUAAUACCUUGUCGCUUAAUUGGCGACUUGCACGAAUGGCCCAACGAGAGUCCCGCUGUCCCCGCGUCGGAUCCAAUGAAAAUGACUUACUGGCGCACAGUCCAGUACCUUCCAAAAGGAAGCGAAGACCCCGUAGAGCUUUACUGCAGCCUGUAGCUGCCGUACGGAUCGGGAUGUGCAGCGUAGGUAGGAGACGUCGAAAUCCGGACGCCAGUUCGGAUGGAGUCGCAAUAUGAGACACUACCCUUCUUGGUUUGUACGGCUUACCAUUUAGGUGGAACACCUAUAGGUGGGCAGUUUGGGUGGGGCGCCACGCCCUCAAAAAGAUAACAAGGGCGCCCAAAGGUCAGCUCAGGUAGGUCAGAAAUCUACCGUUGAGUGUAAGGGCAAAAGCUGGCUUGACGUGAACAUGCACCACAAAUGUUCACGAUGCGAAAGCAGGGCCUAACGAACCAAUCACCCUUAUUUCUGAGGGGGAUUGAUAGCAGAAAAGUUACCUCGGGGAUAACUGAGUUGUCUCCAGCAAGAGUUCACAUCGACCUGGAGGCUUGCUACUUCGAUGUCGUCUCUUCCUAUCCUGGUGGUGCAGCAGCUGCCAAGGGUGGGGUUGUUCGCCCAUUAAAAGGGAUCGUGAGAUGGGUUUACACCGUCGCGAGACAGGUGUGUUGCUAUCUUUUGGAAGUGUUCGGUCUCUGAGGGGCAGGUCCCUUUAGUACGAGAGGAACAAGGGAUCGCGGCCUCUAGUCUACCAGUUGUCCGGUAGGGCAUUGCUGGGCAGCCACGCCGUAGAGGAUAAAAGCUGAAGGCAUCUAAGCUUGAAACCUCCCCUGAAAAGAGAGACCGUCAAGGGCUCCGAUAGAAGAUCGGUUUGAUAGAGUCGGGGUGUAAGU
rnacentral:rRNA from 1 species